UAAUACGUAGGGGGCAAGCGUUGUCCGGAAUUAUUGGGCGUAAAGGGCGCGUAGGCGGCUGUAUAAGUCUGAUGUGAAAGUGCGGAGCUUAACUCCGUAAAGCAUUGGAAACUGUACGGCUUGAGGACAGGAGAGGAAAGUGGAAUUCCACGUGUAGCGGUGAAAUGCGUAGAUAUGUGGAGGAACACCAGUGGCGAAGGCGACUUUCUGGACUGUAACUGACGCUGAGGCGCGAAAGCGUGGGGAGCGAACAGG
rnacentral:rRNA from 1 species